rnacentral:rRNA from 1 species
UGCGUAGGCGGACCUUCAAGUCGGAUGUGAAAUCUAUAGGCUCAACUUAUAGCUUGCAUUCGAAACUGAUGGUCUUGAGUGGAUUAGAGGAAUGCGGAAUUCCAGGUGUAGCGGUGAAAUGCGUAGAUAUCUGGAGGAACACCAGUAGCGAAGGCGGCAUUCUGGGAUCAUACUGACGCUGAAGCACGAAGGCUAGGGGAGCAAACAGGAUUAGAUACCCUGGUAGUCC